UGGUGACAAUCCUGACAUGCUUCGGCUCCCGGGAAGUUAAUGGGAAUUAAACCACAGCAGCCCUCCUUUGUGGCGCUUUGGCCGGAACAGCAAAAGGGAGACAAUGAGCGGUCUGUGCGCAGUUCCACGCCGAUUGGCUGGUCACCCCCACUCCCCGAAACCCCUGAUGUCAUGGACUUGGAAUGGCGCCUCUCAUCUCUUUUCCAGGCCAAAAGUCUGAAAGAUAAACAGGGCCCCGCCUAAGGGCCACAGGCCACUCAGGAGCGCCCCCUUCCCGGAGG
rnacentral:lncRNA from 1 species